rnacentral:rRNA from 1 species
AUUGAACGCUGGCGGCAGGCCUAACACAUGCAAGUCGAGCGCGAAAGUUCUUCGGAAUGAGUAAAGCGGCGGACGGGUGAGUAAUACAUGGGAAUCUGCCUGGUAGUGGGGGACAACGUUUCGAAAGGAACGCUAAUACCGCAUACGCCCUACGGGGAAAGGGGGGAGUCGCAAGACCUCUCGCUAUCAGAUGGACGCCC